GCGUCAAUCGCUUCUUCUAGCGAACUUCCUACGAACAUCCGACGAACCCUCGGUGAUGCUCUGGCGGACUUCCGGCAAACACCUGGACUUGCGACGAUCCACUUGACAAGUUCCGACGAGCUUCUUUGGCAAGCUCCUGGACUUCUCGGAUUUGUUCCCGCAGAACCUCCGACGACCGUCCGGACUUCCGUCGAACUCUCGAACUCCCAAC
rnacentral:lncRNA from 1 species